AGUGCUCCUGUUUCAAAUUUGGGGCAUGGCUUGGAUGAAAGUUCUCUCUCACUUCAGUUUGAUCUGGGAGAGAAGCAAUUAGCAGAGAAAAGCUGGUCAAAAACUGCCUACAAGAGGAAUGGUGAGAAUGGACCAGGAUAAACAAACUGAGAAUUUUGGAAAAUAAAAAAUAAAGACUUUUUAAAGUCAGGUGGAACAGAGAUUUGCAGAACCAGAAAGAUGAGCCAGAUCUGCAGGAUAAAUGAAGCAGCAUGGGGCCAGCUCCUACCGUUACCUGCAUAUUGUGAGUUUGUUCUUACUGAGAAAGGAAGAGAGAUACCAAGUUCAACACAGAAUCACCGCAAACAAGAUGAAGAAGAGGAACUGGUCAGCCACACCUGCAGCAUCACUUACCCAGUGAAUCCAAUUCCUCCUUCUCUUCCUAAUGUGCCACAGGUUCCUGUUUCUCCCAGUACUUCUCUAAGCAAAACAGAUUCACAGAACACAGGAAGAGGAGCCAGAUCUGUGGGUUUCCUAGCCUUUUGAAACCUAAAAACGGAAGUAAGCUUUCCGCAGAACAAGAUUCUCCAACUGCAGAAGGAAGAAAAAUAUUGGUUGCAUUAUGACGAAUGGAAGCAGAUGGAGAGAACAGAAUUCCAAGGCAAAAAGGAGCUUGGUGCUGGACCAGGAUCUUUAUCCAAGAAAUCUGAAGGUUUACCACCCACUGAUUUUGCAAUAUGGAUACCAGAAGAGAUGUGCUUAUAUAGCAGCUGCACUUCAUAAAGUUUUCCUUCUGCUUGCAUGCUUUAUGAAAUCUCCCUUGAACUGAAACAAAUUAUACAUCCAUCUUUGCUACAGAAGUCUGUACUGGCAAGGAAAAGAGUCCAAAAUACAAAGAGUAUAUCAACAGAUUACACCUAUUUUAUUUCAUGUGUUGCUUUGGUUGCUUUGGCAGAUUACUAUGGGUGAUAUGGUGUUCCAUCCUUACAGUCACUAAAUAAAAAGACUGAUUAAUUUUAAUUAUAUAUUUAAGUAAUUAUAAUUAUUUAACAGCAGUUCAUUUUAAGCUUUAUCAUUCUUUGAUCCCAGAACUCCAUGACCCAAACUGUCAGCAAGUCUGCAAUUAACCAAAGUUUUCUAUUACAUCCAAACUAGUUACCAGGUUGAGAUUAAAACAGGAUUUAAAAUCAUAAUCAGAAGUUGCUGUAAAAUACUGGUUCAUUUUGUAUUUUGCAAGCACAGUUUCUCGUUUUGGACAUUACAGACCAGUGGUUCUUAACCUAUGGGUCCCCACGUGUUUUGGCCCACAUCUCCCAGAAAUCCCAGCCAGUUUACCAGUUGUUAGGAUUUCUGGGAAUUGAAGGCCAAAACAUCUGGGGACCCACACGUUGAGAACCACUGUUAUAGAUAAAUGAAAACCAUGCAUGAGGAGUAAUGUUACAUGAAGAUGCACUACUGACUUUUAAUGCCAUUUUAAAUACUUACAAG